GCCCGGAUGGUGGAACUGGUAGACACGCCAUCUUGAGGGGGUGGUGGGCUUACGCCUGUGCGAGUUCGAGUCUCGCUCCGGGCACCA
rnacentral:tRNA from 1 species